ACUCUUUGUUUUAAGUAGUAAUGUCACCUGCAGCACUGACUGCCAGUUUUCUCCUUAGAUAUUGAGGUGGUGCUGCCUCUGCUGCCUUCUUGGUAUCUCUGUCUUCCACCUUUCUAACCGGGGUUUACCCAUCCCUCCAGCCUAUGUUAUUUGCCCUAUGCCUGCUGCAGGAGGGUGGGCUCUGGAGUCACUCCUCUAUUAUUCUCUGGCUCCUUGGCUUCUGUCAUUUUUGUGGAAAUCCAUCCUACCUUCCCAACACGCAGCACUGGCCCCCAGACCUAAUCUUCUAUCUAUGCCACUCCCUUCAAGUCUUAGAUAUCCAGAAGCUGCUUUUCUCCAGCAAAGGAGCUAAACUUGAUUUAUAAACUCUAUGGUUGUGAUCAGUGCAGGUGACUGCUCAACUUCUUUUAAGCCUCUCCUUUUCCCUAGAAGGCUUUUCAGUUGCAAGAUCCUUUGUACUCACCUCAUGGACUUGCUGACCACAGCAAUUGCAGUGGGAAGCCUUCCAGAGCCGCAUUGCCUUGUGCAUGACUCAAUUCAGGUUAAUGGCUUUUUAAUCCUUCAUGGAUAGUAAAACAAUUACCAGGAGGCAAAAGCAGUAAUUACACAGAGCAGAAUAAAUGCACGUGGUCAGACCCUCUGCUAACAUAAAUAGAUUUUGAGAGAUCUAUUACUACAAAACCUCUCCUGCCCUUCUUUUUCCCCAGAAGAGGAAUUUAACAUCAUUUCUUCAGUCCUCUAAAACAUUUUCAUAGAAGAUUAAGUGGUAGUGCGUCAGAGAUCUCCUGAGACAAUUCAUUUCAGUUGUGAGGAUGAGUUUCAGUUGUGAGUUGUGAGUUUUUUAAGACAAUGUAAUGAAUGUGGAACACAUGGGAGUUCAUGCACCUGCUGACUAAAGAAGAUUAUCCCAAAGUAUCCUGAAGCU